UACAGAGGUCUCAAGCGUUGUUCGGAUUCAUUGGGCGUAAAGGGUGCGUAGGCGGCGCGGUAAGUCGGGUGUGAAAUCUCGGAGCUUAACUCCGAAACUGCAUUCGAUACUGCCGUGCUUGAGGACUGGAGAGGAGACUGGAAUUUACGGUGUAGCGGUGAAAUGCGUAGAUAUCGUAAGGAAGACCAGUGGCGAAGGCGGGUCUCUGGACAGUUCCUGACGCUGAGGAGCGAAAGCUAGGGGAGCAAACGGG
rnacentral:rRNA from 1 species